rnacentral:lncRNA from 1 species
CCCAUUCAAAUCCAAACGAUAUAUCCAAGAUAGUAACGGACAAAUUCCAAAAAGCCAUUAUCAUUGAAAUCAUGAGUUUUUCUUUCACUAACAUUUAUAUACAUUUGUACUGCAUAUACAACUCCAAAAAAGGCAUCAUAACAUGUCCAGAAAUUUGAGUAAGCAUGCAGUAGCUAUAUGUUAAUAGGGCAUCAUUUGAAGUUUGUUCAUGAACUAAAGUCACGCCUAACAUUCAUAUGAACAUAUAACCUAUAAACUUGAAUAAAGUCCCAAAUAAUUACAGUCUGGGAUAUAUUACAUCAUUCUGAUUUGUAUAAAGGGGCUACUAUUUAAUCUUAACAAAAUGAUUAGACGAUAACCUAACAUAGCUCUUAAGCAAGCUUAACAAAUAGCAACAAAAUUUCAGACAAAAGAAGGAAACCAAACACAUAUUAAACUAAAUACACUCUGAAAUUUCCACUUCAAAUCAACCAUGUUGUUCUUCAGUUUUACAUUUCAAAAAGCUCACGAGGAGUACCUGGAUACAACAAUAAGGAAAAGAAAUUCCUGAUAUCAGCUAAAAUGAACCAAUAAAGUAAAUGAGCAGAGUUUAAAUAGUAGUAGUCAGCAACAAUACAACCUAAUCUAAUCCAUGCUUAGCAUCCAAAACCCAGCAAAAUAUGGGAACUCUUUUAAAACCUAGAAAAAUUAGCUAAUGAAAUAGUACUUAAACUCUUUUUUUGUGUGCUUUCCAGUUCUGAGAACUCUUUUUUUUUCAAUGUGUUUUCAGAAAUUUUUUAGAAGUAGAUAAAUGGUCCUUAGGUCUCCUUUUGAGUGAAGGAAAGGUAGCCUUUUAUAGGCCUUUGAGGCCACGUGCUUAAAAACCAGCCUUGAGAAUUAUUCCCAACCUGCAGGGCAUCUUUUUUAACUGCCUGGACAGCUGGCUGUCCCUUAUUGGCUCAGUAUUUUUGUGCUAACCAAAUGGGGACAGCUGCCCCAGGUUCUAGAACCCUCCCAUACCAAUCCUUAUCUAAAAACUCUAUUCCUAACUCCCAAAUUAUCCUCCCCCUAAGUUUUUAGUUGUUACUUUAACCCCUAAAGUUCUAAAUAUUUACAAACAUAAACAAACAGAAACAAAUAAACUGAUAUCUUCAAAUAGAUUUAAAGUAAAUGAAAUUCAAAGCUAAAAAGACAUCUAACAUCUGGUGAAUGAACCUAAACCACUAAAAUGACAUCAAUUCAUGAAGAACUGGUCUGUUCAAGAAACCCUAAGUGGAACUUUCACAAGUGUUGGAACAAUCAAUGCAUUCUAAACAAAGUUAACAACUAAAUAUACUCAAUAAACCACAACAAAUGAAAUUGAACCACGAAUUACACCUAAAUUCUUCUCACAUAAGCUAAAAUCAGAAAAUACCAUCGGAACAAGAAAUAAUUCAAGCAUUGCACUAAAUUGACUUAUGUGAUGAAAAUCUAAUCUGAAACCCUAAAUACACACAUAAGCCUAACAUGCAACUGACAGAAUUAAGAGGAAGAGAUCAUAAAAACAAAAAUAGAAGAAAACAAAGAUGAACAAAGACUAAAGUCCAGGAAAUACCAAAUUAAUCCACCAAACGAACAUUCGACAUAGAAGCGGCAGGCUGGCCAGGUUCAAAGCUUUAGACGAGGCUUGAAACUGACCAAAACGAUUAUUCUAGACACGAAUAACCUAUUUGGGCAAGUUUUCAACCCAGACGAACAAAUCUUCCAAGAAAUCCCCAAAACAGAAAUUAGGUCAAAAACUAAAUCCUAGAUUCGACAAGUUCCAAAGGUUAUUUAGGAAAAUCAUUAAGGGUUUUGGGUUUGGGGAGGCCUAGUGACUAUAGGGUAUUUAUUUGGGCCGGUUUGAAACAGUUAGGUUUUUUAAGAUUGAAUUUCGGAUCCAAAAUAAGAGGAAAUUGGUGGGGAUUUGAAGGGAUUGGCUUAGGGAUUGUGAAAGAUGAAGGAAAGCGGGUUGUCUGGUAAAUAUUUGGGAAGGUUUGGACCCCGGAACUACCGUGAGGUGAUUUUCGGUGGGUGGUUGACGGUGGAGGCGGCGGGGAAUUUAGGGCGACUAGGGUUUGCUAGGUUAGAGACGUGGGAGAUGAGGAAUGAAGAAUGGACUUAGAGUUUGGAGGGCUGUUCCGACAAUCUUA